ACAUUCGCGGCGUGCCGAAUGCUCGUCUCUCGCGUGGCGACGACGGCGGCGGCGUGACGCGUUAAAUGAAAAUGGCAACGCGCCCCUACGCCAUGCGGCUGCCUCCACGGGGUACGUACACGGGUCGCGCACACAAAUUGCGCUGCUUUAUCAAUCUGAAAUAACAUCAGGACGCGGGACAAUGAGCGACAAUGCGAGACUUACAAGCAGACUUGGCUGACUGACGUUAAGGAUCACGCUAACAUGUACAGAGAGAUUGAAUCUUAGGAUAUCGUGUUCAAAAGAUUUCGGAGUACCUUGAUAAGCAAUAUAUUUUCAAUUUGCAAGAAGGUAGCGAAAGUAUUAAUUCGCAAAACAAAUGACAUAGCAGCGACAUUAGAAUAUAUAUGAAACCUUCAAGAUAAUCCAAUAAGAAGUAAAACAGCUUUAGAAAAAACUUUUAAUGCAUUUAUUGUCUUAAUAAUUUAUUAUAAAACUGUAUUAAUAAAAAAAAAUAUGUCAGAAAGAGAGAGAGAGAGAGAGAGAGAGAGAGACAUUUAAAGCAUAUUUUAUUUAUGCUAAUAUCAUAAAAUCUAUUCUAUCUAAGUCUUAUGUAUAUUUAAUUAUGUAGUCAAGAUGAAUAAUUUAAAACAUUUCUUUUAGACAAUAAUUAUAUUUAAUUUAUAUGAUGUACUGUAUCUUAAAAAUGAAAAAAAAGAUUUGUCCCUUUUUAUCUAAAAAUUCGUUUUUAAUUAUUUUGUCUAAUUACUUUGAAGUAAUUUUUAUGUAUUUACAUGUAAAAUGAUAUAAAUAAAAUAACUAUAAUUUUAACAUA